UUGGAGGGCAAGUCUGGUGCCAGCAGCCGCGGUAAUUCCAGCUCCAAUAGCGUAUAUUAAAGUUGUUGCAGUUAAAAAGCUCGUAGUUGAACUUCAGGCCUGGCUGGGCGGUCCGCCUUCCGGGUGAGUACUGCCUGUGGUCGGGUCCUACCUUCUGGCGAAGCGUCAUGGCCUUAACCGGCCGUGGCGGGGAACCAGGACUUUUACUGUGNAAAAAUUAGAGUGUUCAAAGCAGGCACGCGCUUGAAUACAUUAGCAUGGAAUAAUGGAAUAGGACAGUGGUUCUAUUUGUUGGUUUCUAGGACCGUUGUAAUGAUUAAUAGGGAUAGUUGGGGGCAUUAGUAUUCAAUUGUCAGAGGUGAAAUUCUUGGAUUUAUUGAAGACUAACUACUGCGAAAGCAUUUGCCAAGGAUGUUUUCAUUAAUCAAGAACAAAAGUUAGGGGAUCGAAGACGAUCAGAUACCGUCGUAGUCUUAACCAUAAACUAUGCCGACUAGGAAUCGGGCGAUGUUGACAAAAUGACGCGCUCGGCACCUCAUGGGAAAC
rnacentral:rRNA from 1 species